rnacentral:pre_miRNA from 1 species
UUGAUUUGCGAGGGCGGCUAUACAAAUAGUCGCCCUUGUAAAUCAAGUGUUUUGAUUUACGAGGGUGACUAUUUGUAUAGUCGCCAUCGUAAAUCAAAGU